UGACCUAUGAUGAUAUCUUUUCCAAAUGAGCCAUCUUUCGGGACUGAUAGGCAUUUCAUUGCCAUGCUGUUAUUCUGCAAUUCUGAGGUCG
rnacentral:snoRNA from 1 species